rnacentral:lncRNA from 1 species
GAAUUAGACGAACUUCAACUAAAGUGGUGCCGACGGAACAAGCCAUUAGCCACUCCGACCGAAAAAUAUUCAAUCCAACUAAGUGCGGAGCGACGUCGUCAGGGUUAGUGCUUCUUUUAAUCAAUUUUACAGUGUUCAAUAGGGGUGGGCAAAAUACCCAACCCGACCCGAUCCGAAAAAAUUCGGGUUCGGAUCGGUUCGGGUUGUUAUUGAAAUCCGAAUGGGUGAAAAAUUACAAACCCGAUCGGGCUGUGAUCGGGUCGGUAAAACCCGAUUCGAUCUGAAUAUCCGAUCGGGUCACACCAAAAAAAAAAAAAACCUGACUAAAUCUAUAAACACAUCACACAUGCACACACCACACACCACACACAAGGGCGCACACAAAGUCUCAACUAAAAAACAAUUAGCUAAAAAACAAUUGACAAAUAAAAAACAAAAUCAAAUUAUAACCCACGCACACAACCAUAUCUCGCUACUUUCACAGCCCUCAUCUUCACAGCCCUCUCAUCUUCACAGCCCUCUCAUCCUCACACUCAUGACUUCACGUGCACAAACACAUCCUCAUCCUCAUCCUCACGCUCAUGACUUUCACAGCCUGCAAACGCAGAGAAGAGAGCGGAGGAAGCACAGCCAGCGCAUGUAGCCACCUAACCCGCGACCGGAUCUACUGCUCCGCAACAUCCGUAGCUACCAGAUCUGCUGUUACCGGAUAUCUACCAAAUCUGCUGUUGCCGGAUAUCUACCGGAUCUGCUGCUACUAGAUCCGAUGCGCUGCUAUCGGGUCAGAUGCUGCUGGAUCUGCUGUUGCAGCCUCCACCAUCACCAGGAUCUGCUGUUGCAGCCUCCACCAUCACCAAGCUCCACCGCGAACUGGCAAUCUGAAUUCUUUUUUUUUUCUUGCUGUUUUGAUGGUAUAUAAUACUAUAUUAUAUAUUAUCUGUUAAUCGCUAAAUAUAUGUAUUGUUAAAUGUUAAUAAUAAAAUGAGGGAAAUUCUUGUAUGGAAAAUUUUGGAGCUUAAUUUAUUAAGUCCGUGGAAGCUUAAAUUAUAAGUAUGAAUUGAUUUUUUUUUUGUUUUGUUUUUAGUGAAUAGAUUAAGCACUAAAAUUAAAUAUUUUACUUUGAUCUGUGUAGUAGCUUCACUCGAUCCGAAUUAGCCCGAAUUUAAUCCGAUUAUUUGAC